ensembl:snoRNA
CCUCACUGAGGACAAAGUUCAAUAAUGAGAAUCUUUGUUNNAAAGUCACGUUCUGA